AUACGGAGGGUGCAAGCGUUAUCCGGAUUUAUUGGGUUUAAAGGGUCCGUAGGCGGAUCUGUGAGUCAGUGGUGAAAUCUCAUAGCUUAACUAUGAAACUGCCAUUGAUACUGCAGGUCUUGAGUAAGGUAGAAGUAGCUGGAAUAAGUAGUGUAGCGGUGAAAUGCAUAGAUAUUACUUAGAACACCAAUUGCGAAGGCAGGUUACUAUGUCUUAACUGACGCUGAUGGACGAAAGCGUGGGGAGCGAACAGGAUUAGAUACCCGGGUAGUCC
rnacentral:rRNA from 1 species